ACAAAUAUAGAUUUUAAAAAAAUCAAUGAAAUAGAAGGAAAUAAUGGCUAAAAAUCUUCGAAUUAAAUGAUUAUCCCAAUAUUUUUACUUGCAUAGAAUCUGCAAUAAACAUUUCACAAUAAUUGCUGGUUGUAAACAAUGCUCAGAAAAUUAGUAAACAUGGUCAGAGGCUGUCUCAAAACAUAAUCCAAACCACUUGACUGGGAUAGAGAAGUAAAAUAAAUGUUAGGGAUUCACGGCAACAUUGGUACUAAUCUGAGCACGACUAGUAACUCGCAUCUAAGAGAUAAUUUUGUUUCUCCAACGAUGAGUUAGAAGAAAAUGAACAGACAAAUAAAUGAUUUGUAGUCUAUACGGUUGAUGAUUUUAAUUCACCCAGAAAAGCCUUAGAUACCCAAUAAUGUCUAAUUCACACACACUUAUCUCAUACAAUGGAUUAUACUUAUUAUGGUUAUCAAAACCGAAAUAUAUGAUGUACCACAUACGAGGAGCUAGGUAGUGGAGCCAAUGUAUUGACAAUUUUUCAGACGCUGACUUUCUUGAA